rnacentral:lncRNA from 1 species
GAGAAUGCUGUGUCUAUGGGAUGGUGGAGAGCCUAACAUGACUGAAGUGGGCACUUCCUCUAGGAGAGAUUGAAAAUGAAUAUCACACAGAAGGUAAUGGAGAGGAUCACGGUGAUGUGAGCAGAAUAUAACAUAACGCCUGUA